UUGCGUAGGUGGUUUAAUAAGCGAAUAGUGAAAUCUGGUGGCUCAACCAUUCAGACUAUUAUUCGAACUGUUGAACUCGAGAGCAGAAGAGGUAGCUGGAAUUUCUAGUGUAGGAGUGAAAUCCGUAGAUAUUAGAAGGAACACCGAUGGCGUAGGCAGGCUACUGGGCUGUUUCUGACACUAAGGCACGAAAGCGUGGGAGGCAACCC
rnacentral:rRNA from 1 species